AAUGCUUGUGGAGGAUGUCCGAGCCAAGAGAAGUGUUUUUGUGGAAAGGGCACCCAAGAGUAGAAAAGCUUUCCAAUGGUUAGAGUGCUGUUUCCGACCUCCAUGAGUUUUUGAGGUAUCGUCGAGCUCUAGACGUUAAAUUAAGCACUUGUUGGGAGGUAACCCAACCGUUUUUGUUUAGUUUUUGUUUCUUUUAGUUUCUUUUUGUUUCUUUGCUUUCUUUGUUUUUUGUGUUUUGGUAGUUUAGUGCAGUGUUGAGC
rnacentral:lncRNA from 1 species